rnacentral:lncRNA from 1 species
GUUGCCUCCAGCGAACACAUUAUUACCCUUCUUCUAUAUUGCACCGCGGCUCUGGGGAUCCGGGUGAGCGUUUAAGUUUCUAUUUCCAGGCGAAAAGCGGUUCAAAUGUGAGCUCGACGGCUGUAAUAGGCGGCUUGCCAACAGCCGCGACAGGGAGACAAGCACUCACGCGCACGCGGGCGACAAGCCUCGGUCUUUUGGGAAACCUGUGGCAGCCCGAACCCGGCGGAAGAGCCUGAGGAAAAGGCAUUGAUCUGAACCGCCGCCGCCCGCCACCCCGCGCACGAACUGAGCCCCCAGCGUGCGUGCUUCCUGGUCUCUCUCCGUGGCUGGGGUACUCGACCGGUCCUUGCCGAGGGUCCCAAGGCCAAGCCAGAAAGCCCAGACCGAACCCAGGACCCUGCUGGAGCGGCCGUCAUUAGCGUUUACCUCUGGGAGCCGCACUCUCCCCGGCUCGCAGAGCCCGCCUGCGCCACCGCCGCCCGGGAGCCCGCUGUUGUCUUAGGCCAAACCCGGAGGAGCAGCUCAUAAUCCGGGCUGAAGGCCAGGGAGCGCGGAAGAUUUAUUGCUGCCCGGGAAAGCGAGAGCCCUGCCUGCCCGGGAAGUUUUCACCGCAGCGGCCAGAGGUUGCGGGGGUCUGGUGCAGCAACUCUUCACCUCGGUCCCUGAGUUCGAUGAUCCCUAAGGCCAGGGAUGACCGUUCUGCAGCAGCAAGGAUGGAGCAGGGGCUCUUUGGGUUGUCUGGUGGCCUUCUCUGGACUUUGACCUAAAGGGGCUGACAGCGCCCCCUCUUUGGGGGACGGAAGGUCACUUUGCUCCCCGGCUGCCUCUUCGAAAAUGGGGGCUUUAAAUGCUUAGGGAUCGUAAAAGUUGUAAGGGAAGUGCCAAAAUCGAAGAAGAGGCUUUGAGUGAGAGACACAAUUGCUCAACGAAUCUGGCGUCAGCAACUUCCUGGCAUGAGGUACAGGAUCUGGAGGUCUGUGUAGACUGCUGCUGACCAGCUGUGG